UACGUAGGGUGCAAACGUUGUCCAGAAUUAUUGGGCGUAAAGGGCUCGUAGGCGGUCUGUCACGUCGGGAGUGAAAACUCAGGGCUUAACCCUGAGCCUGCUUCCGAUACGGGCAGACUAGAGGUAUGCAGGGGAGAACGGAAUUCCUGGUGUAGCGGUGAAAUGCGCAGAUAUCAGGAGGAACACCGGUGGCGAAGGCGGUUCUCUGGGCAUUACCUGACGCUGAGGAGCGAAAGUGUGGGGAGCGAACAGG
rnacentral:rRNA from 1 species